rnacentral:rRNA from 1 species
GAUGAACGCUGGCGGCGUGCCUAAUACAUGCAAGUCGAGCGAACAGACGAGGAGCUUGCUCCUCUGACGUUAGCGGCGGACGGGUGAGUAACACGUGGAUAACCUACCUAUAAGACUGGGAUAACUUCGGGAAACCGGAGCUAAUACCGGAUAAUAUAUUGAACCGCAUGGUUCAAUAGUGAAAGACGGUUUUGCUGUCACUUAUAGAUGGAUCCGCGCCGCAUUAGCUAGUUGGUAAGGUAACGGCUUACCAAGGCAACGAUGCGUAGCCGACCUGAGAGGGUGAUCGGCCACACUGGAACUGAGACACGGUCCAGACUCCUACGGGAGGCAGCAGUGGGGAAUCUUCCGCAAUGGGCGAAAGCCUGACGGAGCAACGCCGCGUGAGUGAUGAAGGUCUUCGGAUCGUAAAACUCUGUUAUUAGGGAAGAACAAAUGUGUAAGUAACUAGGCACGUCUUGACGGUACCUAAUCAGAAAGCCACGGCUAACUACGUG